AGCGAACGCUGGCGGCAGGCCUAACACAUGCAAGUCGAGCGCCCAGCAAUGGGAGCGGCAGACGGGAUAGUAACACGUGGGAACGUACCUUUCAGUUCGGAACAACCAAGGGAAACUUUGGCUAAUACCGAAUACGCCCGUAAGGGGAAAGAUUUAUCGCUGAAAGAUCGGCCCGCGUCUGAUUAGCCAGUUGGUGAGGUAAUGGCUAACCAAGGCGACGAUCAGUAGCUGGUCUGAGAGGAUGAUCAGCAUCACUGGGACUGAGACACGGCCCAGACUCCUACGGGAGGCAGCAGUGGGGAAUAUUGGACAAUGGGCGCAAGCCUGAUCCAGCCAUGCCGCGUGAGUGAUGAAGGCCUUAGGGUUGUAAAGCUCUUUCGUCAGGGAAGAUAAUGACGGUACCUGAAGAAGAAGCCCCGGCUAACUUCGUGCCAGCCGCCGCGGUAAGAC
rnacentral:rRNA from 1 species